rnacentral:rRNA from 1 species
AGCGAACAGAUAAGGAGCUUGCUCCUUUGACGUUAGCGGCGGACGGGUGAGUAACACGUGGGUAACCUACCUAUAAGACUGGAAUAACUCCGGGAAACCGGGGCUAAUGCCGGAUAACAUGUUGAACCGCAUGGUUCUACAGUGAAAGGCGGCUUUGCUGUCACUUAUAGAUGGACCCGCGCCGUAUUAGCUAGUUGGUGAGGUAACGGCUCACCAAGGCAACGAUACGUAGCCGACCUGAGAGGGUGAUCGGCCACACUGGAACUGAGACACGGUCCAGACUCCUACGGGAGGCAGCAGUAGGGAAUCUUCCGCAAUGGGCGAAAGCCUGACGGAGCAACGCCGCGUGAGUGAUGAAGGUCUUCGGAUCGUAAAACUCUGUUAUUAGGGAAGAACAAAUGCGUAAGUAACUGUGCGCGUCUUGACGGUACCUAAUCAGAAAGCCACGGCUAACUAC